AAAAAAUUGCAUUAUGUUAUUGUCCCACCCCUCACCCCGCCCCCUUCCCCUCUUCCCAAAGCUUUGAUUGUACUACCCCAGCAGAAGCACUUAAUGUUCUAUUUAAAUAUAAUGGAUUUCAACAAGCCCCUAGACAGUUGAAUUGACAGUCGGUGAGGGGCGUUCCCCGCGCCCGAUUAAAUCAUUAUGACACAUAGAUCUACAUUUAAAGGUAGAGAUCUAUUUGAGAGACGUCAGAAUGUGAACAGAGUGGUUUCAGACAAAGAAGCACUUUGUUUUAAAAAAUGUUAAACCACACUGGACAGUCCUCUAACAGUUGAUAUAGAAAUGACAACCUCUCUGAGGCACCUUCUUCAGUUAAAGGCCAAAAACGUAGGAAUGGAAACUGUCCAGUAAAAGAUGGAAAUGAGCGGUGAGGUUUUUGGGCGACUGCUGCCAGGCAGAGUUCCCCUCAGACUGCCCUCAUACAUUCACUUUGCUAUGAAGCUAAAAGGAGUCUUGAUCGUCCACGUCGAGGAGAUCCUGGGAAUCAUUUCAGAUUUCUUAAAAACUAUUUCCAAAGUGUAUUUUCAUAAGACACAUGUGAUAUAAAAGGGGCGUGGCAGCAAAGCCUCAAAAGAUUGAGCAGCUGUUGUCAUUACGAAUGCCCGACACUGAGAGCCGCUGCUCGGCGAAGCUCCGGUGUGUCACUUUAGACCAGCAGGAAGCACUUCCCUGCCCCUGAAGCGCCUCAGCCGAGCGUGGCGCGAGCCUUCACUGGCUGGACCGCAUCGUCACUUGACAGGGGAGAGGGAGGCCUCGUGGCGGACCCCCGAGCGUGCCGCUCACAAUCUGAGACUUCUAGGAAAUGUUUUAUUAGAGCAUUUAUGUUUGUAGAGAAUGAAAUGUGUCCCCCACCUCCACACACACACAGUAACGUCUCAUCUGACAAAGGAAAUACAAGCAUGUACCUUCUUAACGAUUAGCUGUAGCACAACUGCAAACGUCAAAGCAGUAGAGCGACAGAUACUGCCUGAGAGAUGCUGGCCAUGGUCGUUGUAAUCUCUCUAAAACGUACGUAGAGAGGCUGAAAUAAACUCGUCACAUGGAAAAAAGGGCAAGUCAGCAAAGAAGCACCUUAUUUUCUUACUACAUUGAUGACUUGCGCUUCAUCGUGUGCCACAAAAUUUAACACGGAAGAAAAAAGCUCCUAUGAAAUGCUUUUUUUUUUGCUUUUUUUUCUCGUUUCUUUUUUGUUUUUUGAAGGAAACAGAAGACCCUGACUAUAUAUAUAAAUAUAUAUAAGUAAGUGUUAAUGUAGUCGCGUCAGACAUCCCCUCUGUUAUGAACUCAGCCAUUUACAGUGACACGCUGACAGUCGACCCAGCCGUGAGCGUAGGCCCGCCGAGGCCACGCCGCCGCCUCUUACACCAACACCAAAUGAAAUCAAAAAAAGGUUCGGACUAGUUAGCCGUUAAUGGGUAGGGAUCUACGAGCACUUUAGGUGUUCUUAGGUUGAGAGUAGGUAAACAGUGUCGGGGCUUAACACAGGACUGUAAAACAGACACCAAGACUAGGCUAGAGAAUAUAGCUCCACUGGCCGAAAUACUAAGUCUAGAAUUACUAGGAGUCAUAUACUUAACUGCUUUCAACUUUUGACAUUACUACAAAUACGUGUAUUACAGCAGUACAUUGUUAGAAGAUGGCUUUUCUGCAGCGAUCCAGAGUGUGACCUGGUAUUUGAUGCCCUCUCUCGAUUCGCUCGCCAGAUAACAGUUACACACACACACACACACACACGUUCACAAUACAUAAACACACACACAGAGGAAUCAGUUGAUUUGUUACCAGCGGCAUUCUCUCUGCUUUCGUGCUGAAGUGAUUUCUUUUCGUGCAGUUUCAGUUCCCAGUGGAGUGGUCGUCAGUUCAUCGGAGAUCUUUUUUGGUAACACUUUCUACUGACCGCGAGGAGGAAGAAAAAAAUAAAUAAAUCCCACAUUCACGUUCAAGUUUUUGCUGCAUGGACACAGAUUGGAGAAACACGCGCACACUGACACAUUUUUAGAAUACACGCACAUAAUAAACACACGGAUAUAUAGAUGUUAAAUCCUGAGUUACACAGUAGGUAGUUUGGAAAAAAAAAGAAAAAAAAAGUCAACACAACACAUGAUGUAGUGUCCCUCUUUUGUCCUCGUCUGUUUUAGUUUGAUAGGUAUUUGAUCAGUGAUUUUUAUGCUUGUUAUCCUCUAACCCGCCCCUGCUAUGACACUUCUUCUCGCUGUUCAUCCAUUUAUUCUUUUCUCCCACCCUCAAAUUUUUCCUCGGCCUCCUUGUAGAGUACUUACAUCCACGAAAACACACACACAGACACAUACACACAUAAAUCAAGCCCACUGCAGACACGCACACAGAUAUCCUCCACACAGGUUAAUCCCACCCCUGUCCUCCUCCCACUGUAUCAGUUUCCUUUCACCUCCUUCUCUGCUGCUCCGUUAGCCCCUUUAGGACCGUUUCUAUUGGCCGUUUUUAUUUUUUCUCUUUUUCUCUUCGGGCUGCCCCGCCCCCUUAAUCAACCCAACUAACAGUAAAGGUUAUAUUAACGUUGAUAAUCAGUUUCUGUAUGUAUCUAGCCAGAGUGGAUUUAAAAAAAAUCUGAAAAAAAAAAAUCAAAACUGUUUUAUUCAAUUGUGCAAAAUGUGUUUUUUCUUACUAUUUUUAAUGUUAUUACAUCUUCUAAUCUAAUCCUUCUACCAUCGCUUCAGUUAGUACUGAAAUACGCUUAGCCAACCUAGAGAUUUGAACUGUAACGAUCGCCAUUUUCCUUACCUGUAUUUUAUAUGGCAUCUGUAGACCACUUCACCGUUUUAUUAUUGUACGUAAGUAAAUAUUGCCCGUUUUUUCGGAUUGAAAAUCGUCGUCUGCACUAUGUUCGAUUCUCAUAUUAUCCCCGAUAACGAGUUUUCGCUCUUCGUCGUUAAUCAAAGCUCAACUCUGCGCCCUUGCACAAAGCAGCGAAAUAUCUCUUGUGAACACCUGAGAACCAAAGUACACCUAGUAUCCCCGUCUAUCCCUCCGCCCCCCCAAAAACAAGCUCCUCUAUAGCCCCUCCCCCUGCCCAACAUUGACAGCUCCCCGCCCCUCCACCCUGAGUAAUAAGUUUCUGAUGAUUAUAUGUAUAAUGACAUUGCAGCACGUGUGAUUUAUCCGACAGAUCUGUGAGGUAACGGUGUGGUGUUUCAUUUUUAUUUUUGUUGUUUUUCAUACUGUGGUUUUUGUGGAGAUGCAGACGGACCGGGCGGCGAGUGAGCGUCUCAUCAAAAUCUCCCGCUCGCUCCUCAUGGUGAAGUUUUAGGCGGUGUGAACUGCUCCACUUGCUCCUAUCACAUCAAAUUAUUACAAGUAACCACACACGGGAAGAAGGAACGACACCUGACAAAUAUGUUCUCUGUCACGCCGAGCUUCUUGGCACCCUCUAUUGCUUUUUUUUUUUCUUCUUCUUCUUCAAAACAUUGUCUUUUAGCUCCCAGGACUUGAGCUGAGCGGGUCUUUUCAUGCUGUACGUGGGCACUGAGGCGGAGGAAAGAGAGACAGUUUUCCUCACAGUGCGAAUCUGAGAUUGAUCGACCAUCCAGGAGGUUUAUUCACAUCAAGGAAAUAAACAUUUUAGCCAUGAGGAUCUGCUUUCAGAGCUUUCGGGCUUCUCAUACAAAAUAAUUUGAUAGAAUCUCAUAGUUUUGUGGACUUGAACUUGCGAUUUUAAUUAUGCCGUUUUGCUGCUGCAAGAUGAGCAAUUUUCUGUCACUUACUAAAAAUCAGAAUGCAUAUUUGGUAGUUGUAGGGCCGAUCUCUUGGUGGAAAUUAGUGUUUUAUUCUGACAUUUGUACGUUUAAACCAUAACAAGCUAAUUGAUGUUAGUCUCAUCGAGCUGCAGAAAAUACAGCUACUUCCUGGCACAUUUUAGUGCAAUCAUUAAGUCGUAUUUAAAGGAAUUGUUAGCUGCAUCAUUGACUUCAUGAUCGGAUAUGAUUUAGGCCAAAUAUAUAAAUUUUAGACAGUUGGUCUGACAAAAAUAAGAGAUUUUAAGAUGCUGUCUGUUACUUUUGACAUCAGUAGUGAAAAUCAUUGCAAGUUGCAGACUUUGUUAGUUAAUCCCAGUCCAUAGUCAACAUCCUGUUUUUAUAGUGAAAAAAAAUUAUUUUCCAUCUUAGUUAGGGCAUUUAUUGGUUUAGAGGCUUUUGUUCAAAUAAAAAGAAGCAAUUUUAAGACAUUUUCUCUGCUAAAAGCGGUUUUACUUUGAAGGAAUCAAUAAAGCAAGCCUUAGCUGCAGUCCUAGUUAACAAAUUCCAAUCCAUGGCUUACAUCUCGCUUUGAUCAUCAUAAAAUUUUAUUUCUAGUUUCUGAUUUAAAUCAGGAGGUUUAAACCGUCUCAGCUGAAGCGCUGUGAGGAAAAUUCUUGCUCUCUGACUGAAAUGAUAGUAUUUGUGUCAUAAAGCUGGUUAAAAGUAACCCCCCACCUCUCUGCCCACGAAAACGGGAGCAUCCUCUGAAGAGAAGCAAAAGCCCCAGAACAGGAGUGUGUGCGUGUAUUAUUGUAGAAAUGAAACAGUAUUAUCUUCUGUCAUACAGAAAGGAGUCAUCGGUUGGGUUGUAUCUGUCCAGGAAAUCUCACAGCAUUCUUGUCCGGUUUGAAUAAGGGUCCCUAAUUUCUGUCUCUCUCUACACUGCCACUCUCCCCCCCUCAACAGCCCCCCAGAAGGUUCAGAAUAACCUGUCCCCCCCCUUCCACCUCCCUCCCUUCGUGGCCAAGUCCCCGUCAAGUUGGGGGCCGUUUCACAUCACAUCGGUCAACGCAUCAGUACCCAGAACCACCCAAAAACUACCUGUGCAGCGAAAAAAGGGUUAAAAUUUAUCCAUAAUAUUAUUGUUAUAGAAAUAUUAUCAUCAUCAUUAUUGCUGUUAUAAUUAUGGUUGGUAUAAUUUGUCAUCAUUGUUAGCAUUAUGGAAGCACCAGACGGUUUGUGGAAAGGUGAGAGAAAGUUUUUUUUGUUCUUUUGUUUUUAAUUUGUCUGGCUGUUGGUGGUCUGAUCUCACAGAGGCAGGGGAGGAAUGGUUCAGAAAGAGACAAAGAUGGCAGUCAUGUUUGUACUGGUUGGGAAAUGACUUACAGUGCUGAAAUAAAAUUUAUUCUUUUAGUAAAAAAAAGUAUUUCCUGUGUCCUGUGUCUUCAUUCAUUGAAUUUUUGAGGGAUUUUAAUAGCAAAACUUGCACCAAUGUAAUGUCUGUGAUGUAGAGGGAUUUUAAAAAGAAAAAAAAAAACACUGAUGAUUCACUGGAGGAAACAAAAAGUCCACUUUGGAUAACCUGUAAAGCAGGGGUGGGGAACUCCAGGCCUCAAGGUCCGGUGUUCUGCAGUUUUAGAUAUCAUCCAGGGUCAACAUACCAGAAUCAAAUGAUUAGUUCAUUACCAGCCCUCUGGAGUACUUCAAGAUAUGGUGAGUAGGGUAAUGUAGCCAUCUGAAUCACUGACACAUCUAAAACCUGCAGGACACAAUUUUCUCAGUACUCGCAGAUGUGUGUUAAGGCUUUGAAAUUUAAGUUUCAAAAUCUUCACGAUCAGUAGAUGCGCUCUUCUUGGUGUGUUACUACUUCAGUCUUUUCCCAAUGAUUUAAUAAGAAAUGACCCAGGUGUACAUUCUUUAAAUAAAGAAGUAAAAAGCACCUCUGCUGAAGAUGUAUGUAAAAUCGGAGUCAAUCUAUCGAGUGACUCCACUUCCUUUAACUCCCGUUAUGUAGAAAUUGGCUGCAAUUCACAUUGGAGAGCGGCAGGGGGCGCUCAUGAUAGAACUAAGCGCUUAAAAUUAUUAUUUACACUGUCUUCUAGACAUAAAUUUUUAAUUUAAUUUUCUAGCAUUCUGCUAAUUUAUGCUUAACAGUGACUUUCAGACUGGAACUUCAUAAAAAAACGACUCCACUAAAUCUAUCAUGAAGUUUACCCCCCCAAAUUUUCAUAUUAUUGGCGCCCACUCUGAAGUAAGAAGUCCUGAAAGUGGGAAAUCUUGAUAUUUUAUAAGCUCAGGGAUUAUAUACACGUUAAAAAAAAUAAUAAUAAAAAAUCCCGGCACGACACAUGAAUCUCGCGAUAUUUGUGCGUAUCAGCAGCUGGCUGCAAACCGCUCCGCUCGGAAAGAUGGCGACGAUGAUAUGGGGGGGCCACCCAGGCUACAGGGAGGCUUCUGAGGUUUGUCCUGGGAGAUGCCUACCUAUCCUCAAGAACAAAGAGCUUCUGGGAAGAAGGCUGCAGGAUUUUCUGAAGACCAGUCAUCUGUCCUGUUUCCAAGAGUGCAGGGCCAUGUUUAUUAUGCUCAUAUAAAGUUAAUAUAUGACCGGGGUGGACUGAGGGAGAAAGUGGGAGCUGUGGAAUGAGGUAGUAGUUUGUAUAGUUUUAGGAUCACACCAGAUCUGGGAGAUAACUAUACAGCCUACUGUCUUUCUCACGGCAACCGAAACCAUCCCCUCCAUCGUCUUACCUCCUCAGGUUUUUGGUCAUAAAUUUGUUCCAGUGUUGUAACUUUCUACUGGUCUUUUUUUAAGAAUAUUUAAUCAUUUUUCUAUUAUUUUUGGAUUAUAGAUCCUUGCUUAGGUUAUCUGUGGAAAUGUGAUCAGAUUUUCCAAAGUGCCUGCAGCACACGUGGUGGUUUCAGUGUCGCAUGUUUUCAAAGACAAGGAAUUUAUUUUGAAUUCCUAUAUAGUGCAGGGUUAUAUUAAUCAAUUUUAUGAUUUUGAACAAAUCUAUACAGAUGCAGCAAAAAAUAUAGGCAAUCAAGUGGGUGUGGCAUUCAAUUUUCCAGAAUUGAAGAUAAAGGUUGGAAAAAGGCUCAAUAAUGGACUUUCAGUGUGCACAGGGGAAAUGUUGGCAUUGUUGUUAGCUGUUCAGUGGGUGGAGGAUAACAAGCCAUUAUGGACAAUAAUCUGUUCCCUCUAGUUCAUCAUUGACCAGCUUGGAUAAGUCAUUCAGAUGCCAGACCAGACAUUUUAAUUGAGAUUUUACAGACAAUCUACAGAAUAAAUAUGAUGGGACUGAUAGUUAAAUUCGUAUGGAUACCAGCACAUUAUGGUGUUAUUGGCAAUGAGGUGGCAGAUAAAAUUGCAAAGCAGGCUGCUAAAGGAGAUCAAGUUGAUUUAAAUGUCAGUAUUAGCAAAGCUGAAAUGAAGAGCAUGGUAAAACA